UACAGAGGGGGCAAGCGUUGUUCGGAAUUACUGGGCGUAAAGGGCGCGUAGGCGGCCUUCUAAGUCGAACGUGAAAUCCCCGGGCUCAACCCGGGAACUGCGUCCGAUACUGGAAGGCUUGAAUCCGGGAGAGGGAUGUGGAAUUCCAGGUGUAGCGGUGAAAUGCGUAGAUAUCUGGAGGAACACCGGUGGCGAAGGCGGCAUCCUGGACCGACACUGACACUGAGGAGCGAAAGCCAGGGGAGCAACGGG
rnacentral:rRNA from 1 species